AUUGAACGCUGGCGGCAGGCCUAACACAUGCAAGUCGAGCGGAUGAAGGGAGCUUGCUCCUGGAUUCAGCGGCGGACGGGUGAGUAAUGCCUAGGAAUCUGCCUGGUAGUGGGGGAUAACGUCCGGAAACGGGCGCUAAUACCGCAUACGUCCUGAGGGUGAAAGUGGGGGAUCUUCGGACCUCACGCUAUCAGAUGAGCCUAGGUCGGAUUAGCUAGUUGGUGGGGUAAAGGCCUACCAAGGCGACGAUCCGUAACUGGUCUGAGAGGAUGAUCAGUCACACUGGAACUGAGACGCGGUCCAGACUCCUACGGGAGGCAGCAGUGGGGAAUAUUGGACAAUGGGCGAAAGCCUGAUCCAGCCAUGCCGCGUGUGUGAAGAAGGUCUUCGGAUUGUAAAGCACUUUAAGUUGGGAGGAAGGGCAGUAAGUUAAUACCUUGCUGUUUUGACGUUACCAACAGAAUAAGCACCGGCUAACUUCGUG
rnacentral:rRNA from 1 species